rnacentral:lncRNA from 1 species
CAAGCACCCACUAAUCUAAAUAGGCUUUAAAAUUAAUUUAGCCAUAUUUUUUAAUCAGUCCUUUUGUUGUAUUCCUUGUAUCUUUUUUCUUUAGUCUGAUGUCAUACAUCAGAGUGUAUAUGAACUUAUCCAUACCGAAGACCGAGCUGAAUUUCAGCGUCAGCUACACUGGGCAUUAAAUCCUUCUCAGUGUACAGAGUCUGGACAAGGAAUUGAAGAAGCCACUGGUCUCCCCCAGACAGUAGUCUGUUAUAACCCAGACCAGAUUCCUCCAGAAAACUCUCCUUUAAUGGAGAGGUGCUUCAUAUGUCGUCUAAGGUGUCUGCUGGAUAAUUCAUCUGGUUUUCUGGCAAUGAAUUUCCAAGGGAAGUUAAAGUAUCUUCAUGGA